UGACCCCAGAAAUGCUGUUGAGCUAGAUACAUGUACAUUAUGAUCUAAAUUUAUUUUUAUCUCUCUAAUCAUUGGGCAUUUCUCUGUCUUUAUCUCUCUGUGAUUGCCUAAGAGGAUCGACACAAUGUUAUUGGCAUGGAUGAAAUGCGAAGAAGAUGAUGUCUGGUCUGAAGACCUUCCUACAUGGCGGUUCUUUCAGUUGGAUGGGUUCUGUUUCUAUUUGUUUCAUCCAGGGCUAUGACGCAACCAAUCAGUGCUUUAGAUGCUUAGAAGGCAACCAAAAGAAGGCUUUUGCACUGGCGAUGAGAGGUUGCAGUGUUGCAGUUAAUGUUCAAAUUGGACAUAGGUGUUAAGUUCAUGGAAUUCCAGUAAGUUCUUCAUCUCUAAUCCUAUUACUCCAUUUUGUCAUGGUUCUGGUUGUUUCAGGUAUUUCG